UAAAAUAUUUCUUAGACGUUCUGGAACAUGUCUCUUAGGGCACCUUCACAAACUAUGAAAAAGACAAUAUAUCACAGAAAAUAUCACAAGAUCAAUAAUAUACCCACACAAAGAAACAAAAGAAAACUAAUUAUAACAAAGAGAAACUGAAAUAUAACUGUAGUAUUUCUGCGAUCUAACAGUUGCGGAUUUAUUCAUUUAAACAUAAUUAUUAGUUAAAAAGGACGUUAUUACGCGUGAAAAUGGAGCGUGAUAUCCGACAUAUUCAACAUUUAUUACUGUUUUUCUUUGAUCAAACCAAACAAUGCAGUGAGGCUCAUCGUCUUAUUAGAAAAACUUAUCCUGAGUUUGCACCAUCGAAGUCGAUAUGCUACAGGUGGUUUGUCCAAUUCAAACGUGGCAAUUGUGACUUAACACUUUUAACCCUAGGUAGGAAAAAAAAGUUUCAAAAUGCAGACUUGCAGAAACUUAUAGAUGAAAAUCCAUGUAUGUCGCAAAGAGAAAUAAGUAGAAAAUUAAAUGUUGCACAAUCAACUGUUUGUACACAUUUAAAAGACAUGAAACAAUUCCAAAACCAAAGAAAUCAGGUUGACUUGGCUACUCAAAUACGUUGCACCACUUGCGUUACACUGCUGUCAAGACACAAUAAAGAAGAGCACUUUCUGGAUCAAGUUGUGACUGAAGGUGAAAUGUCAAUAAAGUUCGGUACUUUUACGCAAACGGAAACAAAUAGAAGUACUGAAAACGAAAUUACGCUCUGCAUUUGAUGGGAUACUAAAGGUGUUAUAUAUUACGAACUGCUACGACCACAUGAAAUUGUUAUCGACCGAUAUUCACAACAAUUAAACAAAUUAAAGGAAGCAUUGGACAGUAAACGACCGCAAGUAGCGAACUAUAGGCGUAAGGUAAUUCUGUUGCACGCAGUUUUUGCCCAGUUGAAUAUUCUGAAGUCCGUGAAAAAACAGAUACUGGAGUUUGGAUGGGAAGUUUUACCUUAUCCUGCUAAAUCGUUUGACAUUGAUCCAUCAGAACGUUUCUUGUUGUCACGAUUGCACUUAGAGACCGUACUUAAACAUACACAGUUUCAAACUUUUGAAGUAGUGAAAAAAGCGAUCGAUGGACGCAUUGAUUCAAUAAACGAUUGCCAAUCGAUUCUUAAAGAUCUUGGAAUUCCUUCAUUACCAGAAUUAUGGAAACGGUGUGUAGAUAAUAAGGGAAAACGUGUGACUGAAGUAUAAGGAACCAUGGCAACUUUUAACGUCAUUCUUGUCGAAUCAAAGUAUCUUGUUACAAUUUCCUAAGCUUGGUAAUCGCCAUAUUGCCUGAAAGGAAUACUUAUUCUUAACAUGUAGCAAGUAGCACUACAGCGAUCGUCACGCUUGUACUUGGCCGGUGUUUGAAAAUGGAGCUACGACGAUUCAAUACUACCGUCAGCGUGAUAUGUAUCGCCUUUUUAUAUUUUACGACAAAGGUCAAUUUGGUUGUAUAUUAGAUACUUUAUAUGUAUACUUCUCUUUGUGGUUUUCUGUGGCAAAAAUUAGUUUUUUUUUUUCACACAUCUUACUAUAUGUAGGUGAAACCAGUUUUCAUACAUUUUUCC